GUUGUAGUUGUCACAGGUAAAACAAGUGUCAGUUUAAUAAACUUAUACACCAAUGAAUACACAACAUCUCUUUUUGUCUUCACCAUCUCCAUUGCAAGACUUCUGAAAUUGUGCAAAUUUAACUUCUUUAUUUUCUUUCCGAUCUCCACGUUAGACAAAAGAAAAAGAAUGUAGUUUAUCAAAGUCAACUUUUUUCCAAUCUCCACAUUUUGCC
rnacentral:lncRNA from 1 species